UCCGGUUUGGCACCGGCAGUCUCCCUAGAGUUCCCGGCAUCACCCGCUGGCAACUAAGGACAGGGGUUGCGCUCGUUGCGCCACUUAAGGCAACACCUCACGGCACGAGCUGACGACAGCCAUGCACCACCUGUGCAGGCUCCGAAGAGCACCCGCUUUCACGGGUUUCACCCUGCAUGUCAAGCCCAGGUAAGGUGGGGAUGACGUUAGCCUAUCGAGA
rnacentral:misc_RNA from 1 species